AGCGAGCGUUGUCCGGAAUUACUGGGCGUAAAGAGCUCGUAGGUGGUUUGUCGCGUUGUUCGUGAAAACUCACAGCUCAACUGUGGGCGUGCGGGCGAUACGGGCAGACUUGAGUACUGCAGGGGAGACUGGAAUUCCUGGUGUAGCGGUGGAAUGCGCAGAUAUCAGGAGGAACACCGGUGGCGAAGGCGGGUCUCUGGGCAGUAACUGACGCUGAGGAGCGAAAGCGUGGGGAGCGAACAGGAUUAGAUACCCUGGUAGUCCACGCCGUAAACGGUGGGUACUAGGUGUGGGUUUCCUUCCUUGGGAUCCGUGCCGUAGCUAACGCAUUAAGUACCCCGCCUGGGGAGUACGGCCGCAAGGCUAAAACUCAAAGAAAUUG
rnacentral:rRNA from 1 species